rnacentral:lncRNA from 1 species
UUUUUUUUUUUUUUUUUUUCCUUUUUGAGACAGGAUCUCACUUUGGUUGCCCAGACUGGAGUACAGUGGUGAGAUCUCAGCGCACUACAACCUCAACCUCCCAGGCUCAAGUGAUUCUCUCACUUCAGCCUCCCAAAUAGCUGGGACUAUAGGCAUGCGCCACAACGCCUGGCUAAUUUCUGUCUUUUCAGUAGAGUCAGGAUUUCAUCAUGUUGGUCAGGCUGGUCUUGAACUCCUGGGCUCAAGCAAUCUGCCCGCCUCGGCCUCCCAGAGUGCUGGGAUUACAGGCAUGAGCGACCGUGCCUGGCCUCAACCCCAUUCUUGAACCUCUACUUUAAUCCCCUGCCUCCGGGUUUUUUCCUCAAGCUGUUUCCUCUGCCUACUCUGCACUCUCCCAAAUCCACUCUUUCAGGAAGUCUCCUAGAUCUAGAUUCCCUGUGGGUGGAUAGAAGUAGUCAUUUCCACUGAUUAGCAGCAGUAGCACUAUUUUGCUUCUCUGAGCCUUCAUUUCCUUGUCUCUAAAAUGGGCACAAUACUGUCUCUCUCAUCAGGUUACUGAGGGGACAAGAGACUGUUUAGAAAGCAUCAAGUACACCCUUGAAUGCUGGCACCCUCCCUGACUGUGCCUAGAUCACUGCCUGGCACACAGUGGGCACAGAGGCAUGUUUGCUGAAUCAAAUCAACUCAGAGGUCCCAAGCUUUUACAGUUGUUUUUUUUUUUUUUUUUUUUUGAGACAGAGUCUCGCUCUGUCGCUUAGGCUGGAGUGCAGUGGCCGGAUCUCAGCUCACUGCAAGCUCCCAGUUUACGCUUCAUUCUCCUGCCUCAGCCUCCCAAGUAGCUGGGACUACAGGCUCGCCACCUCACCGGCUAGUUUUUUGUAUUUCUUAGUAGAGACGGGGGUUUCACCGUGUUAGCCAGGAUGGUCUUGAUCUCCUGACCUCGUGAUCCUCCCGUCUCGGCCUCCCAAAGUGCUGGGAUUACAGGCUUGAGCCACCGCGCCCGGCCUGCUUUUACAGUUUUUAACUUGCUUCUUGGAAUUACCAUACCCAACAGUGGAACUUGGAAAAACUCAGUUUCCUGUAUUAAGAUGAUCUUAAAAGGGAC